rnacentral:rRNA from 1 species
GAGUAAGACCAAGCGGCGGACGGGUGAGUAACGCGUGGGUAACCUGCCCUAUACACAUGGAUAACAUACUGAAAAGUUUACUAAUACAUGAUAAUAUAUAUUUACGGCAUCGUAGAUAUAUCAAAGUGUUAGCGGUAUAGGAUGGACCCGCGUCUGAUUAGCUAGUUGGUGAGAUAACUGCCCACCAAGGCGACGAUCAGUAGCCGACCUGAGAGGGUGAUCGGCCACAUUGGAACUGAGACACGGUCCAAACUCCUACGGGAGGCAGCAGUGGGGAAUAUUGCACAAUGGGCGCAAGCCUGAUGCAGCAACGCCGCGUGAACGAUGAAGGUCUUCGGAUCGUAAAGUUCUGUUGCAGGGGAAGAUAAUGACGGUACCCUGUGAGGAAGCCCCGGCUAACUACGUGCCAGCAGCCGCGGUAAUACGUAGGGGGCUAGCGUUAUCCGGAUUUACUGGGCGUAAAGGGUGCGUAGGUGGUCUUUCAAGUCGGUGGUUAAAGGCUACGGCUCAACCGUAGUUAGCCUCCGAAACUGGAAGACUUGAGUGCAGGAGAGGAAAGUGGAAUUCCCAGUGUAGCGGUGAAAUGCGUAGAUAUUGGGAGGAACACCAGUAGCGAAGGCGGCUUUCUGGACUGCAACUGACACUGAGGCACGAAAGCGUGGGUAGCAAACAGGAUUAGAUACCCUGGUAGUCCACGCUGUAAACGAUGAGUACUAGGUGUCGGGGGUUACCCCCCUCGGUGCCGCAGCUAACGCAUUAAGUACUCCGCCUGGGGAGUACGCACGCAAGUGUGAAACUCAAAGGAAUUGACGGGGACCCGCACAAGUAGCGGAGCAUGUGGUUUAAUUCGAAGCAACGCGAAGAACCUUACCUAAGCUUGACAUCCCUUAGACCGGUGUUUAAUCACACCUUCCCUUCGGGGCUGAGGUGACAGGUGGUGCAUGGUUGUCGUCAGCUCGUGUCGUGAGAUGUUGGGUUAAGUCCCGCAACGAGCGCAACCCUUGUCUUUAGUUGCCAGCAUUCAGUUGGGCACUCUAGAGAGACUGCCAGGGAUAACCUGGAGGAAGGUGGGGAUGACGUCAAAUCAUCAUGCCCCUUAUGCUUAGGGCUACACACGUGCUACAAUGGGUGGUACAGAGGGUUGCCAAACCGUGAGGCGGAGCUAAUCCCUUAAAGCCAUUCUCAGUUCGGAUUGUAGGCUGAAACUCGCCUACAUGAAGCUGGAGUUACUAGUAAUCGCAGAUCAGAAUGCUGCGGUGAAUGCGUUCCCGGGUCU